UCUUAUGGAUGAGGAAAGAGAGCUGUUUUUUGAGGUGGAAACUCUUCCUGGUGAAGAUUCUGUGAA
rnacentral:pre_miRNA from 1 species